GACGAACGCUGGCGGCGUGCUUAACACAUGCAAGUCGAACGGAAAGGCCCUGCUUGCCGGGUACUCGAGUGGCGAACGGGUGAGUAACACGUGGGUGAUCUGCCCUGCACUUCGGGAUAAGCCUGGUAAACUGGGUCUAAUACCGGAUAGGAGCCAUUUUUAGUGUGAUGGUUGGAAAGUUUUUUCGGUGUAGGAUGAGCUCGCGGCCUAUCAGCUUGUUGGUGGGGUAAUGGCCUACCAAGGCGGCGACGGGUAGCCGGCCUGAGAGGGUGGACGGCCAAAUUGGGACUGAGAGACGGCACAGACACCGACGGGAGGCAGAAGUGGGGAAUAUUGCAAAAUGGGCGCAAGCCUGAUGCAGCGACGCCGCGUGGGGGAUGACGGCCUUCGGGUUGGAAACGACUUUCGCUAGGGACGAAGCUUUUUGUGACGGUACCUAGAUAAGAAGCACCGGCUAACUACGUG
rnacentral:rRNA from 1 species